rnacentral:lncRNA from 1 species
CUCGGACGAAAUUUGGAAGGUGGUUGAUCACCGUAGAAAUUUGGAUAGAGUCUGGUUAUUGUAGAAGUCCUACUGCUGGAGAAGCUCGGAGUGAAAUCGAUCGUGAUAGGAGGAAGUCUGAAAGAGAUUCAGAGAGUAGUCGAUCACUGUAGAAAAUCGACUGAUAAUGAAGCCCAGAGAGCAUUUGGAAUAGCCCGGUAGAUGAACGAAGGAGCUCAUUAUUGGAGA